rnacentral:ncRNA from 1 species
CUAUGAUCGUCGCCUUCAGGUGCUCGCAACCGCCAGGUUUCGGGAGAAUCGGGAAGGCGGUGCAAGUCCGCCACGUGCCCAACGCUGUAAGGAUGAUGAACCACGUUGUAUGCCACUGGCGCGAGCCGGGAAGGUGCGUGGUUCAGAUGAUUCCAAGUCAGAAGACCGGCCUGAAAAACAUCACACGC